CAGUCGCCACGGUAAUACGAAGGGGGCUAGCGUUGCUCGGAAUCACUGGGCGUAAAGGGUGCGUAGGCGGGUCUUUAAGUCAGGGGUGAAAUCCUGGAGCUCAACUCCAGAACUGCCUUCGAUACUGAGGAUCUUGAGUUCGGGAGAGGUGAGUGGAACUGCGAGUGUAGAGGUGAAAUUCGUAGAUAUUCGCAAGAACACCAGUGGCGAAGGCGGCUCACUGGCCCGAUACUGGACGCUGAGGUGCGAAAGCGUGGGGAGCAAACAGGAUUAGAUACCCCCGUAGUCCCUGUCUCUUAUA
rnacentral:rRNA from 1 species